GUAGGUGGCAAGCGUUGUCCGGAAUUAUUGGGCGUAAAGCGCGCGCAGGCGGUUCUUUAAGUCUGAUGUGAAAGCCCACGGCUCAACCGUGGAGGGUCAUUGGAAACUGGAGAACUUGAGUACAGAAGAGGAAAGCGGAAUUCCACGUGUAGCGGUGAAAUGCGUAGAGAUGUGGAGGAACACCAGUGGCGAAGGCGGCUUUCUGGUCUGUAACCGACGCUGAGGCGCGAAAGCGUGGGGAGCAAACAGGGAUUAGAUACCCUGGUAGUCCACGCCGUAAACGAUGAGUGCUAAGUGUUAGGGGGGUUUCCGCCCCCUUAGUGCUGCAGCUAACGCAUUAAGCACUCCGCCUGGGGAUACGGCCGCAAGGCUG
rnacentral:rRNA from 1 species